GGGGAAUAUUGCACAAUGGGGGAAACCCUGAUGCAGCAACGCCGCGUGAGUGAUGAAGGCCUUCGGGUUGUAAAGCUCUGUCUUCAGGGACGAUAAUGACGGUACCUGAGGAGGAAGCCACGGCUAACUACGUGCCAGCAGCCGCGGUAAUACGUAGGUGGCAAGCGUUGUCCGGAUUUACUGGGCGUAAAGGGAGCGUAGGCGGAUACUUAAGUGGGAUGUGAAAUACCUGGGCUUAACUUGGGUGCUGCAUUCCAAACUGGGUGUCUAGAGUGUUGGAGAGGAAAGUGGAAUUCCUAGUGUAGCGGUGAAAUGCGUAGAGAUUAGGAAGAACACCAGUGGCGAAGGCGACUUUCUGGACAAUAACUGACGCUGAGGCUCGAAAGCGUGGGGAGCAAAC
rnacentral:rRNA from 1 species